UCCUGGUUAGCCCAGUUGGUAAAGCGCUCCACUCGAAAUGGAGGGGACCCUUCUUCGAUACCAGGACCAGGAG
rfam:Ixodes scapularis strain Wikel colony gcontig_1108378802270, whole genome shotgun sequence.